CACAGAGGUGGCAAGCGUUGUUCGGAAUUACUGGGCGUAAAGGGCGCGUAGGCGGUCCUUCAAGUCAGGCGUGAAAGCCCCGGGCUCAACCUGGGAACCGCGCUUGAGACUGGCGGACUCGAGUUCGGGAGAGGAUGGUGGAAUUCCCAGUGUAGAGGUGAAAUUCGUAGAUAUUGGGAAGAACACCGAUGGCGAAGGCAGCCAUCUGGACCGACACUGACGCUGAGGCGCGAAAGCGUGGGGAGCAAACAGG
rnacentral:rRNA from 1 species